CAUCAAUGAAAAUCAAAUCAGAUACAUCCAUGAGACUAUUUACUGCUUUCAUCUCAAAUGGGAAGGGCAUCAGGAAGAGAAGGAUAUGCUCUUCCAGCUUGACACUUGUCAGGAAAGUCCUCAAACCUCAUGAAUACAGGGGAAAAGGUAUAAAAUAUCUACAUAUGGCAAGAAGAGUCAAGGACCUUUGGGAACUGUGCCUUGCGUGAAAGUCACAGCAUCAUCAUUCUUUAUGGGUUACAGUCAUACUCAGUUAUUUUGCUUUUCAGAACAAUUGUUGAAAUCUUUUGAUGUCUAUCAUAUAACAAUUUUGUUCUUAUUUCUUUGACUUUAGUUUCCUAACCACAUACUGUAAAUUUGUGAAACAAA